UUAACCAAACACUGCCUUUUUCGUCUGCUUCCGUACUGAACAGCAAAGUGUUCCGAAAUCUACAUUUCCUUCCCUCUCACCUCCUUUUUGCCCCUCCGGCGAACCAUUGCCUCGCUUGUGCUUCAUAAAGCGCUGCCCUCGCUUUCGUGCCUAGCACUCCUCUUAGUCUCAAUUAAUAGUUCAGCCCCUCUUGUCUGUCUUGCGUGCUUCGUAGCCUCUUUCAACUUGUCCCUGUCCGGGAUUGGGGCAACGGUGAGAUCUGGAGAAAUCCUCUCCUUAAAUCUUUCCUGAGAUUCUCUGGGGCUUGGACUCAAUUUGCUGCUACCUUUUGUUGUCAAUAAUGUUACAGCAGUGUAAAACCUCUAAGUGCUUAGGUACCACAACAAGGGAUCACAUCAGUCAAUUGCCGACAGACAUUCUGUGUUAUAUAAUCUCUAAACUGACACUGACGGAUGCUGUCAGAACAAGAACAUUAUCACGCAGAUGGAAAUCCCUCGGCUCAUCCCAGCUAGUCUUAUUUUUUAUAAGAUUAACAUGUUCUUAGCGGGUGAAAAUUGUGCACUUAUCUUGAGAUCCCCUUGCAGUGGAUAUAUGAACAAAUUUGUUAGUGGAGUUAAUCAAUUCCUCGAAUCUUAUCCGAUUCAGUGUGCACAAGACAUAAUCUUCUUUCAAGUCAGUUUCUGUCUUGGAGAUGAUCACUGUGAUGAUAUUGAUCGAUGGGUCAGUUUUGCUGUUCGAAUGGGUGUUGAGAGUCUCUUCUUGACCUUAUUUGUCUAGGAAAACAAUGUAACAAGAAUCCUGAUGAUGUGCACAUCAAUGAAAAUGAGGGGAAGUAUGUUUUUCGUUGGGACCUUUUUGAAGGUGUGGAUAACAAGUUGAAGCAUCUGCGAUUAGUAGGUUUUAGUUUGGGACAAAAGUUUUCUGCUAACCAAUUUGGCAGCUUGCAGACUCUUUGCUUGAUUUAUAUUCCUAUUGUCCAAUAUGACCUGCAUAGCAUGUUUUCCGGUUUGGUGAACCUUAAAAAUUUGUGCUUCACGAGGUGUGUCCUCCCUUCAAAAUUAGGCCUUGGCUCAUUGCUUCUUCUGAAGAUCUUUAAACUUAUAGAUUGUCGGGGGAUUGAGAAUGUUCAGCUAUGUAAUGUGAAUCUCUUGAACUUUCAGCUCAAUUCUCAUCGACUGCUUGAGCUUAAUUUGCGUGGAGCUCCUAAUUUAAAGAUUCUUGGUUGUUGUGCACUUAAAAGAGGACUGCAGUCACUGCACCAUAUCUUGACUGAUCUUCCAAGACCUCUUCUCGAUUUGAGGGUUUUGCGGAUUUACACAUAAGGAUUGGGCUGGAUUUUCGAAAACCUAGAAAGUUUGACACCUUGAAGAUGGUUUCCAUCCUUAGAGUCUUUCCCAAUCUGUGCAAGCUUGAGUUAUCGGCAUGUUGUCCUUUAGAGAGUGAAUCAGAGGGUCCUGGCCUCGGUGAUCAUGUUCAUAAAUAUCUGAAACGCUUUGAAAUUUGUGGUUUUCAUACAUCAAAUCAGACUGUGUUAGCAAUUUAUUUGCUGAAUCAUGCUCCAAGCCUUAAGCGGAUGGCUAUCAAACAAAAAGCAAGACACCAUUUUGACUGCUCAAAAACUGCUAAUGAGCAAAUGGAAUUGUUGGAUGAAGAAGAAUGCCAGAAGCUUUGCUCGCAAUUACAGGCAUUAUCCAAAAGUGCAGUGGUGAUUGUCACAUGAAUACAUUUAUGGAUUAUUUAUUAAACAAAAAAGGUACUUUUAUUUCGUAUUCAUUAUUUGUUAUUUAUAUUUGUUUUUGUUUCUGUUUUUUACUACUCUGUGUAGCAAUUGAGUCGUGAUGAACUAUAAUAUUAUCCAAAAGUUACUUGUUAUUGGCUCCCUA